CUCAACACCAUGCAGAGGACACUUAACUAAUUUUAUUUAAGUACUGGUAAUGCCAGUAAGGCACAUUACCACAGACCUGCCCCCUCAACAUUUCAGGUCAGAUGUGCGGGAUAAAUAAUCUGCCAGUAGAUUCUUUUUCCCAGCAACAUAACGUACCUGAAACCUAUAUGACUGGAGUGCCAAAUACCAGCGGGCCACACAAGCAUUAGAAUGCCUCAUCUUUUGGAUCCACUGCAAUGCUUGGUGGUCGCUCUCCACAAUAAAUUUGUUGGAAAGAAGAUAAUACUUUAGGCUAUCUAGAGCCCAUUUUAUUGCUAAUCCUUCCUUCUCUAAGGUAGCGUACUUCUUCUCUCGGUCAAACAGCUUCCUACUAAUAAACAAAAUUGGCCUUUUCUCGUCACCCUCCACCUGCAUCAAGGCUGCUCCCAAACCUUCCCCAGAGGGGUCAAAAUGCAAAAUAAAAGGUUUCACAAAGUCAGGACAAUGCAAUACAACAUUUUUGCAAAAUAUAUUUUUCAGAGAUUGAAAGGCGUUUUCACAUGACUCUGUCCAUUUGAUGUUUCAUGGUGCAGAUCCUUUAAGAAGGUCGGUGAGGGGUGCUGCAAUCUUAGAAAAACUGGGGAUAAAUCUUCUGUACCACCCCAUCAAACCAUGGAACGACUGGACCUGCUUCUCUGUUCCAGGACACAGACGAUCCUUUAUAGCGACCAUAUUGUCGAUUUGGGGUCGGAUCAAACUGCCCCCUAUGGUGUACCCGAGGUAUUGCACUUUCUCCUUGGCAAUUACUGUUUUUUCAGGGUUAACCAGAGUCCAGCUGUUUUUAACCUAUCAAACAUCAGCCAGGUGUUGUAGAUGUUCCUCCCAGGUCUUGCUGUACACAACAACGUCAUCUACAUACAGUAUGCUCUAGUGUACAUCUAUGCUCCUUGCAGCACUUUGUCCAUGAGGCGCUGGAAGUGGGCCGCAGCUCCAUGCAAAAUAAAAUGGCAUGACCGUGAACUGGUACAAACCUCCGGGAGCCCUGAAAGCGGUAAGUGGUUUUGCCAUUCUGUGAAUGGGACCUGCCAAUAACCUUUGCAAAGAUCAAUUGUUGUUAAAUAUUUAGCAGGACCUAGCUGCUCUACCAGCUCGUCCACUCUAGGCAUUGGGUAGGUAUCGAAAGCUGAGAUGUCGUUAAGCUUACUGUAGUCCACACAGAACCUCAUCUGUCCAUUCUUUUUAGGAAUGAGUACCACACGACUACACCAGUCACUCACUCAAGGUUUAAUGAUGCCUAAACCUUUCAUCUGUUCCAGCUCCUCCCAGAAAACCUCUUGUAGGCGUGCAGGAAUCCUACAGUAUGAUGUUCUCACAGGACUUGGGGAGAUGUUCCAAUGAUGGUCCUUCUUGGACUUCUCUGCAUGAUGGCAAGUACUGCUCCUCUGAUUCCUCUUCCUUCAGAACGCUACAAAUUAAUAGCUGACUGGAAGGGUUAGUAUAUUCCUGCCAUGGCUUCAGCAUAUUAGCAUCAAAAGUGUGCCUUAAUUUCCUAGGGUGAUCAGGCAUAUCAAUCUAAUAAGUGACAGGACCUUUUUGAGCAGCUACAGUGUAUGGCCCUUGCCACUUGGCUAAAAGACUGUUCUCUGAAGUAGGCAAUAAUAACAGCACCUUCUGUCCAACUGGUUUCCUUUAAGAAUGAAAGGGGUCCUCACACACGAUGACCAUACAACAGCUCAAAUGGAGAGAAUCCUGUGGAUGCCUGCGGAACCUCCCGGUAAGUGAACAACAGGUAUGGUAGCCUUUGAUCCCAAUCUGAUCCAGUCAUGCUAACAAAUUUCCUCAACAUCUGUUUUAAGGUGGCAUUAAAUCGCUCCACUAGCCCAUCUGUCUGCGGGUGAUAGGGUGUGGUCCUUAUACCCCGAAUUCCUAACAAACUAUUCACCUGUCUUAUCAAUUUUGCUGUUAGAUUGGACCCCUGGUCAGUUAACAUUUCUCUUGGGAUCCCCACUCUGGCAAAUAGCUGUAUUAAAGCUCUCACAAUGUUACUUACAUUUGUCUUUUUCAAGGGAAAUGCUUCUGGGAACCGGGUUGCGUAGUCGCACACUACCAAAAUAUAUUUAUGUCCAGUGCAGCUACGUUUGACAGGACCCACAAUGUCAACCUCUAUCCUGGAAAAAGGCACUUCCACUACAGGCAAAGAUAGCAAACCCUUUGUGACCUUGUCAAAGCAGACACGCAGACUGGGGUCAUCCCACUGAGCGGAAGCCACAUCACUCGGUAAGUUGCUACUGUUUCCUGUGAGAUCCAAAGGCAAUAUGAGCUCGCCCUGCUUCUGGGGAACGCCCCAGAGCUUCUCACGUCUUCUCUGACUACAGGCUUUACGGACUGAGCCUCUCUUGUCAGCUUCCCCAAACGGCAGCGCGUCCCAGCCAUCCUGGGCAUUUUGCUUUUGCCUUUCCGCUUGGGCCCUUGUGACCAUCAGAGUCUCUGCCUGCAGAGUACCCUGUAAGAGAUCUUCGAUCCCCGGCACGUCCAACCCUAGUAGAAUCGGGUAAGGUUUGUUGUCUAAUAUGCCCUUGGCUAACUCAUAACCCAAACCUUGAAUCUCCAGGUUCACCCGGACCAGAAGAUAGGUGACUUCUUCACCAUGGACACACCUCAAUACUACCUGCUAACCAGACUGUACCACUUGGUUGACCAAACAGUCUUUCCUCACCAGAGACUGGGUGCCUCCUGUGUCUAUUAAUGCAGGGUUCAGUUGACCUGCCAUAGAAACCCUUAGAAUCUUCUCCCUAUU